AGGCGCUUGACUACGAAUCAAGAGAUUGCAGGUUCGAUCCCUGCGUAGGUCA
rnacentral:tRNA from 1 species